CCUACGGGUGGCAGCAGUGGGGGAUAUUGCACAAUGCGGGAAACACUGAUGCAGCGACGCCGCGUGGGUGAAGAAGCGCCUCGGCGCGUAAAGCCCUGUCAGCAGGGAAGAAAAUGACGGUACCUGACGAAGAAGCCCCGGCUAACUACGUGCCAGCAGCCGCGGUAAUACGUAGGGGGCAAGCGUUAUCCGGAGUGACUGGGUGUAACGGGGGCGCAGACGGCGAUGCAAGCCAGGAGUGAAAGCCCGGGGCCCAACCCCGGGACAGCUCGUGGAACUGCGUGGCUAGAGUGCAGGAGGGGCAGGCGGAAUUCCUGGUGUAGCGGUGAAAUGCGUAGAUAUCAGGAGGAAUACCGGUGGUGAAGGCGGCCUGCUGGCCUGCAACUGACGUUGAGGCCCGAAAGCGUGGGGAGCAAACAGGAUUAGAUACCCGGGUAGUC
rnacentral:rRNA from 1 species